CCAAUAUCUCCUUAUAGGAACUGUAUCUCAACAACCGCUAUCUUCUUAUAGGAACUGUAUCUCAACAGCCGAUAUCUUCUUAUAGGAUCUGUAUCUCAACAGCCGAUAUCUGUAUCUCAACAACCGAUAUCUUCUUAUAGGAACUGUAUCUCAACAACCGGUAUCUUCUUACAGGAACUGUAUCUCAAUAGCCGGUAUCUUCUUAUAGGAACUGUAUCUCAGUAGCCGGUAUCUUCUUAUAGGAACUGUAUCUCAACAGCCGGUAUCUUCUUAUAGGAACUGUAUCUCAACAGCCAGUAUCUUCUUAUAGGAACUGUAUCUCAACAGCCGAUAUCUUCUCAUAGGAACUGUAUCUCAACAGCCGGUAUCUUCUUAUUGGAACUGUAUCUCAAUAGCCGGUAUCUUCUUAUAGGAACUGUAUCUCAACAGCCGGUAUCUUUUUAUAGGAACUGUAUCUCAACAGCCGGUAUCUUCUUAUAGGAACUGUAUCUCAACAGCCGAUAUCUUCUCAUAGGAACUGUAUCUCAACAGCCGAUAUCUGUAUCUCAACAACCGAUAUCUUCUUAUAGGAAUUGUAUCUCAACAACCGAUAUAUUCUUAUAAGAACUGUAUCUCAAUAGCCGGUAUCUUCUUAUAGGAACUGUAUCUCAACAACCGGUAUCUUCUUAUAGGAACUGUAUCUCAACAGCCGAUAUCUUCUUAUAGGAACUGUAUCUCAACAGCUGGUAUCUUCUUAUAGGAACUGUAUCUCAAUAGCCAGUAUCUUCUUACAGGAACUGUAUCUCAAUAGCCGGUAUCUUCUUAUAGGAACUGUAUCUCAGUAGCCGGUAUCUUCUUAUAGGAACUGUAUCUCAACAGCCGGUAUCUUCUUAUAGGAACUGUAUCUCC